UCAACCCUCAAGCCCCCGGGUUUGGUGUUGGGGAUCGGCUCUGCCUUCUGGCGGUGCCGCCCCCGAAAUACAUUGGCGGUCUCGCUGCAGCCUCCAUUGCGUAGUAGCUAACACCUCGCAACUGGAACGCGGCGCGGCCAUGCCGUAAAACCCCAACUUCUGAAUG
rnacentral:misc_RNA from 1 species